rnacentral:rRNA from 1 species
GACGAACGCUGGCGGCGUGCCUAAUACAUGCAAGUAGAACGCUGAAGGAGGAGCUUGCUUCUCCGGAUGAGUUGCGAACGGGUGAGUAACGCGUAGGUAACCUGCCUGGUAGCGGGGGAUAACUAUUGGAAACGAUAGCUAAUACCGCAUAACAGUAGAUAUCGCAUGAUAUCUGCUUGAAAGGUGCAAUUGCAUCACUACCAGAUGGACCUGCGUUGUAUUAGCUAGUUGGUGGGGUAACGGCUCACCAAGGCGACGAUACAUAGCCGACCUGAGAGGGUGAUCGGCCACACUGGGACUGAGACACGGCCCAGACUCCUACGGGAGGCAGCAGUAGGGAAUCUUCGGCAAUGGACGGAAGUCUGACCGAGCAACGCCGCGUGAGUGAAGAAGGUUUUCGGAUCGUAAAGCUCUGUUGUAAGAGAAGAACGAGUGUGAGAGUGGAAAGUUCACACUGUGACGGUAUCUUACCAGAAAGGGACGGCUAACUACGUG